CCUACGGGAGGCAGCAGUAGGGAAUCUUCCACAAUGGGCGAAAGUCUGAUGGAGCAACGCCGCGUGAGUGAAGAAGGGUUUCGGCUCGUAAAACUCUGUUGUUAAAGAAGAACAUAUCUGAGAGUAACUGUUCAGGUAUUGACGGUAUUUAACCAGAAAGCCACGGCUAACUUCGUCCAGCAGCCGCGGUAAU
rnacentral:rRNA from 1 species